GUCGUCUACUAGCAACAAUGCGCAGUCGAAGCUUGCAGGAUGUAAUAAAGAACGAGAGUCAUACUAAACUAUAUUAAAAUGGAUGUGUCUCUCUAGGACAAAUUCCUAAAGAGGUGUCUUAUUAUAAUAAAAUUAUGGUGUUUUGAUAGGAAACGUACUGCUAACCGGAUGAAAUAUGGAAAUAAGGAUCAAGGAUUUCGCCGGGUGGGCUCGUUGAAAUGCAAGAGCUUGUUUCGCGUGUCUUUUAAUAAAUUUAUAUACAUUUAUUCUGCAAAUUUGUAAUUUUCAUCGAAAUAAUUCACUAAAAUCCGUUA
rnacentral:lncRNA from 1 species